GGAAGGAUCAUUACCGAACUGUCAAACGUGGGUUGUUGCUGGCCCUCGAAUGGGGGCAUGUGCACGCUCUGUUUACACAUCCACUUCACACCUGUGCACCCUCUGUAGUUCUAUGGUCCGGGGGGUCCCACCCUCCUCCCGUAGCUCUACUUUUUUACAUACGCUCUGUAACGAUGUCUUGUGGAAUGCUUUAUGCGUUUAACGCGAUACAAUACAACUUUCAGCAACGGAUCUCUUGGCUCUCGCAUCGAUGAAGAACGCAGCGAAAUGCGAUAAGUAAUGUGAAUUGCAGAAUUCAGUGAAUCAUCGAAUCUUUGAACGCACCUUGCGCCCCUCGGCUAUUCCUUGGGGCAUGCCUGUUUGAGUAUCAUGAACACCUCAACUCUCAUGGCUUGCCGUGAAGAGCUUGGACUCUGGGGGUCUGCUGGCUGUUUGGUCGGCUCCCCUCAAAUGAAUCAGCUUUCCGGUGUUUGGUGGCAUCACGGGUGUGAUAACUAUCUACGCUUGCGGUGGUCUGCCAGGUAACCUUCAUCGCUGGGGGUUCGCUGGAGCUUACAAAUGUCUCUCCUCGGCGAAGACAGCUUUUGAACGUUCGAUCUCAAAUCAGGUAGGACUACCCGCUGAACUUAAGCAUAUCAAUAAGCGGAGGAAAAGAAACUAACAAGGAUUCCCCUAGUAACUGCGAGUGAAGCGGGAAGAGCUCAAAUUUAAAAUCUGGCCGCCUUUGGUUGCCCGAGUUGUAGUCUGGAGAAGCGUCUUCCGUGUUGGACCGUGUAUAAGUCUCUUGGAACAGGGCGUCAUAGAGGGUGAGAAUCCCGUCUUUGACACGGACUACCAAUGCUUUGUGAUGCGCUCUCAAAGAGUCGAGUUGUUUGGGAAUGCAGCUCAAAAUGGGUGGUAAAUUCCAUCUAAAGCUAAAUAUAGGCGAGAGACCGAUAGCGAACAAGUACCGUGAGGGAAAGAUGAAAAGCACUUUGGAAAGAGAGUUAAACAGUACGUGAAAUUGCUGAAAGGGAAACGCUUGAAGUCAGUCGUGUCUGCCAGGACUCAGCCUUGCUUCUGCAUGGUGCACUUUCUGGUUGGAUGGGCCAACAUCAAUUUUGACCGUUGGAGAAAGGCAUUGGGAAUGUGGCACCUUCGGGUGUGUUAUAGCCCAUUGUCGUAUACGGCGGUUGGGAUUGAGGACUGCAGCACGCCUUUAUGGCCGGGGUU
rnacentral:rRNA from 1 species